GACGAACGCUGGCGGCGUGCCUAAUACAUGCAAGUAGAACGCUGAAGGAGGAGCUUGCUUCUCUGGAUGAGUUGCGAACGGGUGAGUAACGCGUAGGUAACCUGCCUGGUAGCGGGGGAUAACUAUUGGAAACGAUAGCUAAUACCGCAUAAGAGUAGAUGUUGCAUGACAUUUGCUUAAAAGGUGCAAUUGCAUCACUACCAGAUGGACCUGCGUUGUAUUAGCUAGUUGGUGGGGUAACGGCUUACCAAGGCGACGAUACAUAGCCGACCUGAGAGGGUGAUCGGCCACACUGGGACUGAGACACGGCCCAGACUCCUACGGGAGGCAGCAGUAGGGAAUCUUCGGCAAUGGACGGAAGUCUGACCGAGCAACGCCGCGUGAGUGAAGAAGGUUUUCGGAUCGUAAAGCUCUGUUGUAAGAGAAGAACGAGUGUGAGAGUGGAAAGUUCACAAUGUGACGGUAUCUUACCAGAAAGGGACGGCUAACUACGUG
rnacentral:rRNA from 1 species